UCUUUUAAAGAGUUCAGAUCUAUAGGUACACCGGGCCAUUUCUGGCUCUAGCAACGACUGCAGAUUCGGAUAAGGAGAAGAAACAGAAUUUCUUGACAGGGAAAACAGAGACGUGCUGCUCUUGCUACACUAGCAAGACAUUGUCAAAUUCAUGAACAACCAUCUCAGUACUGUGCACUGAACUGAAAAGUUCCUGUCUUGGCCCUACACAUGGAUGGCCAAAGUGACCUGUGGCCAGACUUCCCCCUCUCAACACCCACUGUAGCUCAUCUCGUCCACAUCCUCUGCUCUCCAUUUGACCAUGGCUGGAGCCAUGACCUAGAGGUUCUGGUGCAAUGUCUUACUGUUUCAUCUUAAGAGCGUUUGACAUCCCACGUGAUAUCAUCCACAGGGUCGCACACAUAAUAAUCAGGCUCAAAAGCAGGGUCAUCUGAUGUCCACCACCUGGCUGUCACAUAAGAAUCAAGCCUCCAAGUGCAGAUCCUCAGUGCUACUUCAACAGGAAAUUGUUCAGAUGCAAGCAGUGUGUGACCACCAGUGUCAGUUUCUGGACUUAUAGUCGGACUUAUUGGCUCAGUCCAUGAUACCUUAGCUCUUAAAAACGGUCCUUUGUAUGUUCAACAACUGUACCUAGCUGAAGGGUUUUCUAGAGGAUGGUGGAUAUCCUUGUAUGUCAUGGCCCAUCACACUCAUCACACCAUACAGGGAGUGAGCAGUGCAGUCACAGCAAGGUCAACAGGCAGCAUGCAAAGGCUCAUUCUGUGUUUGAAAGGCCAUUUGGCGUAAUGAAGACCAGGUGGUGAUCGAUAUUUUUCAAGGCUCUGGAAGUGCACCCUGCUUUUGCAGUAAGGUCAUUGCUUGUUGUGUGUUCCUACACAACUUCUGCCUCAGAGACGGAGACACACUUGAGCCUGUGGAAGAGGCACUGGUGCCAGUUGACGGAGGUGGUCAGCUUCAGCCAGACUUGUGUGUGGGCACAUCGCUGCUACUCUUUCAGCUCCAAACACCUUAAGGGGACGUGUCAAAGUCAAAACUCAUUCACACAAAUAUUUCAUUUCAAGUUUCAUUCCAUGUAGCAAGUUUCAAUUGCUAAUAGUGUUAAAAGUUAUUACAAAAUACGCCCUGUUACUUAUUCCUAACAUUGUUAAACCCACUGGAAAGUUGUUGUGUUGGAAUUUGCUCUGUAGAUAUUAAUUCAGUGCUUAUCAAUUUUUGAA